AGUGAACGCUGGCGGUAGGCCUAACACAUGCAAGUCGAACGGCAGCACAGUAAGAGCUUGCUCUUACGGGUGGCGAGUGGCGGACGGGUGAGGAAUACAUCUGAAUCUACUUUUUCGUGGGGGAUAACGUAGGGAACCUUACGCUAAUACCGCAUACGACCUACGGGUGAAAGCAGGGGAUCUUCGGACCUUGCGCGAUUGAAUGAGCCGAUGUCGGAUUAGCUAGUUGGCGGGGUAAAGGCCCACCAAGGCGACGAUCCGUAGCUGGUCUGAGAGGAUGAUCAGCCACACUGGAACUGAGACACGGUCCAGACUCCUACGGGAGGCAGCAGUGGGGAAUAUUGGACAAUGGGCGCAAGCCUGAUCCAGCCAUACCGCGUGGGUGAAGAAGGCCUUCGGGUUGUAAAGCCCUUUUGUUGGGAAAGAAAAGCAGCAGGUUAAUACCCCGCUGUUCUGACGGUACCCAAAGAAUAAGCACCGGCUAACUUCGUG
rnacentral:rRNA from 1 species